rnacentral:rRNA from 1 species
UAUUGGUCAAUGGACGCAAGUCUGAACCAGCCAUGCCGCGUGAAGGAUUAAGGUCCUCUGGAUUGUAAACUUCUUUUAUCUGGGACGAAAAAAGGGCAUUCUUGCUCACUUGACGGUACCAGAUGAAUAAGCACCGGCUAACUCCGUGCCAGCAGCCGCGGUAAUACGGAGGGUGCAAGCGUUAUCCGGAUUCACUGGGUUUAAAGGGUGCGUAGGCGGGCAGUUAAGUCAGUGGUGAAAUCCUUGAGCUCAACUCGAGAACUGCCAUUGAUACUAUCUGUCUUGAAUAUUGUGGAGGUAAGCGGAAUAUGUCAUGUAGCGGUGAAAUGCUUAGAUAUGACAUAGAACACCUAUUGCGAAGGCAGCUUACUACGCAUAUAUGACGCUGAGGCACGAAA